UGGCUCUCGCAUCGAUGAAGAACGCAGCGAAAUGCGAUAAGUAAUGUGAAUUGCAGAAUUCAGUGAAUCAUCGAAUCUUUGAACGCACCUUGCGCUCCUUGGUAUUCCGAGGAGCACGUCUGUUUGAGUGUCAUGGAAUUCUCAACCUUCCACUUUAUUGUUGAAGGCUUGGACUUGGAGGUCGUGCUGGCUCUUGUAGUCGGCUCCUCUAAAAUGCAUUAGCGUGCGUGUUACGGAUCGCUUCAGUGUGAUAAUUAUCUGCGCUGUUGUGUUGAAGUAUAGUAUAGCCUACGCUUAUAAUCGUCUUUACGGACACUCCCUUGACAAUUUGACCUCAAAUCAGACGGGACUACCCGCUGA
rnacentral:misc_RNA from 1 species